GCUUUGUCUUUUAACAUAUACAUUUGACUGUGUGUGUGUGUGUGUGUGAGUAUUGCUGCAGUCAUAGCCCAAUCUAUCUGAACUUACCUGUCUACCAAUUUUUUGUUUCCACAUUUUUGGGCACAUGACUUGAAACUUUAACAAAGAGGGGAAAAGAAAUCCAGCAGACAUUAAACCUGGACAUGAAGUAUGACAUGAUUAUUAUGCUUCUAAAAUAAUUUAUGAGGAUAUUAGAUUAUCCCUUAUGUUUAUUAUUUUUUAAUCCAUAUGAAAUUUGAAAUUUGGCCCAAAUGGUCUAAAACCAGCUUCUUAUCUCAUCUUAAAUAAAUACAUAAGAAAAGUGUAGGGUGAACAGAGACACAGGACGAGUAAAGAGCAGAGAAUUCACAUGUACCUUUAGAUACCUUCCUCUGGAUCAGACAAGCCCUUCAGAAAAGCCAGUGGGAACCUUAUUUCUUCAUCUGUCAAUUAAGUUCUCAGUAUACACAUUAAAUGAAAUAGAUGAAGCCAAUCUGGUGAAAAGUUUUAAAAGUUUACUUUUGAAGUAUUUCUAGCAUGUUGAGUUAUCUUAGCAAAUUAAUAAAUCCGAAAGCAGUAAUGCCAUUGGCAAACAACUAUAAUAUAAGAUAGCUUAACUGAUUCUCAGACCGAUGAAGAAAUUGAUUUGUGGUUUGAGAAAACAACAAUGAAUUGUACCAGAAAGUAUUAUUGUUUUCAGAUGCAAGGCAGAAGAAAUUAGAUCUUGUGUGAGAUGCAGUAUUAACACUUAAUAUUUUAAAUUAUUAAGGCCGACUCAAAACAUUUCAAUGCAAAUGAAAUCUUAUCCUCCUUUGGGGUGCCGGUAUUUAUACAGAUGUAAGUUUUCUAUAGCUGCUGUCAUAUAAAUCCUAUAAUUUGGAAGAUUUCCUAAACGUGAAAAAUUUUCAUUCUGAAAAGUUGACUGGCCUUUUGCAUAAGCCGGUUCAGUUUUCUUAUCUUCAAAAUGUUCUGAUAUCCAAUGAUAACACUGUCAGAGUUCACCAAGUUAGCUUGUGAGAAGAAUGCCAUUUACUUCACGGGCAUCUUUCACCCUUUGCAUGUUCCCUCUUUAAAUGUGGUUAGUCUCUGGAGCUGCCCUCUUCCACCUCUGACCAUCCUUCACAGACAGGCUUUCCCGCCCACAGAUACACCCGUCACCUACCACCCAGCCCUGACGCAGGCUUCCGCCCCUUCUGCGUGCCCUGCCCCCCUGUGCCUGGCCCACCUAGCCCUCCAGUCUUAGCCUUUUAAGGAUCAAUAAACAGCCCUUGCAUCCCAGAAUUGCCUUCUGCUGGACAGAAGGCAUUCUUACUCCCGGUAUACACUUUAGAUGCCCAGAGCCAGAGAUGUCUGGCUCUCCUCUUGAACUUCCUUAUAUUCCUGAAUAUUUCAUUUUCUUUCAUCAGUUUACACUGAUAGUCGCCAAAGGGCCGAAUCCAUCCCAUUUUCUCAUGGUGGUUAUGCUCCAGGAACGUCUGGCUGGGCAGGGCCUGGGAAAUGGGCUUCCUGAGUGGCUGUAUUGGAGAUACUUCUUUGACAUAAACUUCAAUUAUUUUUUUUUUUCCUAUAACUGUUUACUUAACUCCGUCUCCCAGCCACGGAAGUGAUGGGGGCACGGGGAGGGGUGGGGGUGGGUGGGGGUGAGUCAGUACCUAGGCAACUGCCUUGGGCGCAUUACUCGUGCUGUAGCCUUGAGUAGCAGAUUCUCUUUUCCUCCCCCCCCCCCUUCCUUUUUCUUUUCUUCUCUUUUCUUUUUGGAUCUUCAGUGUCUAAGUGACAAUUGGCUAGGAAAUCUGGGAGUGCCUAUUCAGAGCCACUCUGCCUGGGCUUCUUUCAGCCUGGACACAAGGAAGCCAGCUGCUCUCGGCUCCCUGGUUCCUAAAGGUGGCCGCACAAAAGAACCGCUGUUCCAGAUCGGACGGCACAAAGGAAGUAAUCCCCCUCCUCUGGGGGCAGAGCAAGUGCAGCCACGCAGCCCCCCCAACUUCCCCAGCACCAGGGAGGUCCAUCACCCCCCUUGCAUGGAGGGGCUCCGAGCAGGGAGAUGCCCAGUGUUGCAAUAGCCCUGCACCGAGUGCCCACGUGCCAGGGAUGUGGGAAUCAUGAUGUGUACUUUGGGAGGAAAGGGCAUUAUUAUAAGAUGAGUCACUGUAUUUUUCUUACUAUAGUUUCUCAUAAGAAAUCUGAAAGCCUGUGUCGCCUCAGUGAUUGACCUCUUGCUAGAAAAGGAGCUGGGAAGGGUUUUUGUGAGUUUUUACCUUCAGUCUCAUAGUUUCGCUUCCCCUCACCCUCUUUUCCUUAGCUGAGCAGAAAGUAAAUUUGUAUUGCACUCAGUAUUUCCCAUUCAGGCAAUGUUUUCCUUUAUGUUUACAAACCCAAGUCCCUGUGUAAAGACUGCUUUCUCCCUCAGAUGCCAAGCUGGGGGUGGGUGAGGGGGAUGGGGAGGCUUUGGGAACUUCAAAAUUACAUAUUAUUUUUAUUGUUCCUUUCUUAAAGGAAAUAACCAGUGUUAACUCAGGUCAUAACUUUACUUUCCAGAGUAAUAACUUUAUUGUAUAAGUAACCACAAAGGUCUCCAUCUAUCUGAGAUUUUUGGGAGUCAGCACAAAGCUGCUGUCUCCUAGAACAUUGGUUACAGCCACUCCUAGUCCCUAGAGACCCUCCCCAUCUGUUCUUGCCAUCACAUUUUAAAAUAAUUUGCUGAGUGUUGGCUCUGUGCCAGGGGCUCUGGUCGGCCUUGGGAAAACAAAGAAAAAGAAGAACGCAUUCUUGCCCUCAAGGAGCUUACAGUCUGGCAGAUCAAGGGUACUAGAAGUUACCCUGGUGACCUAAAAGUUGUAAUUGAAAUAGAACUUCCAGAGUUCCCAUCGUGGCGCAGCGAAAACAAAUCCAACCAGGAACCAUGAGGUUGCGGGUUUGAUCCCUGACCUCGCGCAAUGGGUUAAGAAUCCGGCAUUGCCAUGAGCUGUGGUGUAGGUUGCAGACACGGCUUGGAUCUGGCGUAGGCCGGUGGCUACAGCUCCAAUUAGACCUCCAGAAAGUCCAAAAUUCUGAGUUCCUUUCUUACUUUUAAACCUAAGCUUUAAAAGUCUGUGAUUUUUUUGGAAAUUAGAAAACGGCGUUUAGUCCUGUGUAAAGAUGGAAAUAUAUAUUAUGACAUUUGGGCUUUUCUGCCUCACCUUGAUUUUGAGUCAUGGCUAAGCUGUGAGAACAGCUGUCAAGAUUCUGCAGACAGGAGUUUCUAUUGUGGUGCAGUGGAAACAAAUCUGACUAGUAAACAUGAGGUUGCUGGUUCGAUCCCUGGCCUUGCUCAGUGGGUUAAGGAUCUGGUGUUGCUGUGGCUGUGGUGUAGGCCAGCAGAUGUAGCUUGGAUUUGACCCCUAAUCUGGGAACCUCCAUAUGCCGCAGGUGCGGCCCAAAAAAGAAAAGAGGAUCCUGCAGAUGUACCCUGGCCACAUAGUGCUGGGCUCUGGCUGCAGCAUCCUCUCAGCAGAAGGAUUGCUGGCCAGCCCAACGAGAGACAAUAUUUAAGUGCUAAAUCGAACACUUCUCUGAAGUCAAACUACUGUUUAAUGUUAAAGAAUCCUCCUCCUAGUUUAUGAGUAUAAAACUGAAAUGAAAAUGAGUCCAAAGAAGCAAUAAACUGCCCUGGUGGUGGGUUAUUUUUAGCUUGACUGUCAUAUUUCUCAACUGUGCGUAACUGAACCUCUGCGGGCCUGAGCCCUUCUCUCAGUCAAGGGGGAAGGUAUCAAGUUAUCUCAAAAUUCCUUUCUCACACUGAAUUUCUAUCAGAAAGCAGAUGGACAUGUAGCUAAAUGAAAACUAUAAAAUAUUUUUUCCCCAAAGAGCACUUCACUUGUAGCUUUAAAAAUUGUUAUUGGCAAAAAAAAAAAAA
rnacentral:lncRNA from 1 species